GGACUGCAGGAUGCGAGCUAGACAGCGGGUGGCGAAAGAAGCGGAUUCAUCCUCAGCCACGAUGGAUAAGAAAACAGGCAUUCAUGACCAGGACUGGCUGUAAAGCCUCGGCCGAGAGAAGAUCUCCGCGAACCGCAGCAAUGCAGUGCGAUUCCACUGCCCCGCGUGCUGUUUCUCGUCUCGCACAAACGGCACACGACACAGACGCUUGCUGACCAUAAAAGGACUGAGAUCUCUCUGCGUGGAUGGCAGAGCUGAGCUUUAACGCGACUCUCCCCGAGUCCGCCGGAUCUCCCAGCAUCCGACUCCUUCGUGUGUAAUCCCACCAGUAGACCCACCAGGGCGACACUGAGGGAGGCCAUCUGCCUCCACUGCCCUGGAACAUCAUCAAGGGCGCCUCUGCUGUGGAAGGAAUGGCGCGUAAUAACAUGCUGCUCACUCAGAGUAUCCAAGAAUGGGUUGCCUUGCUCGACACACUUCUGUUGGGAAAUGGAUGUGGUUUUUGCCAAGACGACCAACGUGCGUGUUUACACGAGACACGUGCGAUGGCGUCCCAUGCUUCAAAGGACAAUGGUGUGGGUGAGGAAGGGAUGCCUGGACCACAUCCAUGGGAAGAUCUCGGCAUUUCAUGUGUCUGAAUGCCAGAUGGGAAAAGAGUGAACCUGAACCAGCUCGGCCCCUCUGCCAGGGUUGGACGGCCCAGCCUCCAUGAACAACCCCUGGCCUUGUCGGAGGCUUUGAUAGUCUGCCUGCAUGAAAAACUGUUUCCAAUUCAUCACCCGGUAAUGCUUCAAGCUGGAUUUAGAGACAUGCUACCACGGAGGCUGAGGAAGGAUUACUCGCAGUCUGCUGCAGCAUUCCGGACGGCCCAGUGGGAAGCAUGGAGGCGAGGGGAGGCCAUAAAAAUCUCCUGUCUGACGCUUGCGAAUGACCGACGGGGGGAAAUAAACCUCAUGGCUAGUUAGAAACCAUUAUGGAGGAAGAAGGGUGUUUGGGGUGAGGAGUGACCCAGUUGGGUAUGCCCUAUCGAGUUACCCACACUACCUUCCCUCAGGGACUAGAGGGCCACAAAACAGGAGGACCUGACGGCACUGACCUUGGCUGGUAAGAACCGUAGCUCCAGGUGUGAAUUCCAGAGUGAGCUCAUAAACAAAAAGGCUUCGAGACAGGAGAGGUGUUCACCUGACUGACAUUUCUAGAGCCGUACAGUGCGUUUUCUUCAAAAAUAAACACGCCAAAGUCCAGUGCAGAAGCCAAACCUUUCUGCCUGAACACUAACACGAAUGCUGUGUCUUGUUGCUUGCCAAAUCCCAACUUUGGUUUGAAACCUUUAUGAAUAUACUGUAAAUUGUUCUGUGGUUUUAAUGGUGCUGUGAAGGCAAUGAAAGGGCUGAGCUGUAAUGAACAUUUUCUCAUAGCCCGUAAUGUCAUAAAUAUUUAGAGUUUACUUCACCCAAAUGCUAAAGUGGCUGACAAUGAACCUGAACAGCAGGUUAGUGUUAUUCCAUGUGCUUAAUGCGUUAGCAUGUUUGGUUAUUCACUUAUUCAUUAGCGUUUUUGUGCUUCAAUCAAUCAACUAGUGCAAUAAACUACUGAAAC